ACAGAGCUGAUGUAAUUUGGUAACAUGACAGUCUCCAAAACUGUUUAUUAAGGUUCGAGUCCUUAGCUCUGUG
rnacentral:tRNA from 1 species